CCUACGGGAGGCAGCAGUGGGGAAUAUUGGGCAAUGGGCGCAAGCCUGACCCAGCAAUGCCGCGUGAAGGAAGAAGGCCUUCGGGUUGUAAACUUCUUUUUCAGGGGAAGAGCAGAAGACGGUACCCUGAAAACAAGCCACGGCUAACUACGUGCCAGCAGCCGCGGUAAUACGUAGGUGGCAAGCGAUUUCCGGAUUUACUGGGUGUAAAGGGCUUGUAGCGGGGAAGGCAAGUCAGAUGUGAAAUCUGGAGGCUCAACCUCCAAAUUGCAUUUGAAACUGUUUUUCUUGAGUAGUGGAGAGGCAGACGGAAUUCGUUGUGUAGCGGUGAAAUGCGUAGAUAUAAGGAGGAACACCGGUGGCGAAGGCAGUAUGCUGGACAGCAACUGACGGUGAGGCGCGAAAGCGUGGGGAGCAAACAGGAUUAGAUACCCCUGUAGUC
rnacentral:rRNA from 1 species